rnacentral:sRNA from 1 species
GCCAGGCAUGGUGGUGCAUGCCUGUAAUCCCAGCAGCUCCGGAGGCUGAGGCAGGAGGAUCCUGAGUUCAAAGCCAGUCUCAGCAAAAGCGAGGCACUAAGGAACUCAGUGAGACCCUGUCUCCA